rnacentral:rRNA from 1 species
AAGAUGGUUAUCUUGUACUGAAUACAUAGGUGCAAGAGGCGAACCAGGGGAACUGAAACAUCUAAGUACCCUGAGGAAAAGAAAUCAACCGAGAUUCCCUUAGUAGUGGCGAGCGAACGGGGACUAGCCCUUAAGCUUCUUUGAUUUUAGCGGAACGCUCUGGAAAGUGCGGCCAUAGUGGGUGAUAGCCCUGUACGCGAAAGGAUCUUAGAAGUGAAAUCGAGUAGGACGGAGCACGAGAAACUUUGUCUGAAUAUGGGGGGACCAUCCUCCAAGGCUAAAUACUACUGACUGACCGAUAGUGAACUAGUACCGUGAGGGAAAGGCGAAAAGAACCCCGGAGAGGGGAGUGAAAUAGAUCCUGAAACCGUAUGCGUACAAGCAGUGGGAGCCCACUUUGUUGGGUGACUGCGUACCUUUUGUAUAAUGGGUCAGCGACUUAUUUUCAGUGGCGAGCUUAACCGAAUAGGGGAGGCGUAGCGAAAGCGAGUCUUAAUAGGGCGUCUAGUCGCUGGGAAUAGACCCGAAACCGGGCGAUCUAUCCAUGGGCAGGUUGAAGGUUAGGUAACACUGACUGGAGGACCGAACCGACUACCGUUGAAAAGUUAGCGGAUGACCUGUGGAUCGGAGUGAAAGGCUAAUCAAGCUCGGAGAUAGCUGGUUCUCCUCGAAAGCUAUUUAGGUAGCGCCUCAUGUAUCACUGUAGGGGGUAGAGCACUGUUUCGGCUAGGGGGUCAUCCCGACUUACCAAACCGAUGCAAACUCCGAAUACCUACAAGUGCCGAGCAUGGGAGACACACGGCGGGUGCUAACGUCCGUCGUGAAAAGGGAAACAACCCAGACCGUCAGCUAAGGUCCCAAAGUUAUGGUUAAGUGGGAAACGAUGUGGGAAGGCUUAGACAGCUAGGAGGUUGGCUUAGAAGCAGCCACCCUUUAAAGAAAGCGUAAUAGCUCACUAGUCGAGUCGGCCUGCGCGGAAGAUGUAACGGGGCUCAAACCAUACACCGAAGCUACGGGUAUCACGCAAGUGAUGCGGUAGAGGAGCGUUCUGUAAGCCUGUGAAGGUGAGUUGAGAAGCUUGCUGGAGGUAUCAGAAGUGCGAAUGCUGACAUGAGUAACGACAAUGGGUGUGAAAAACACCCACGCCGAAAGACCAAGGUUUCCUGCGCAACGUUAAUCGACGCAGGGUUAGUCGGUCCCUAAGGCGAGGCUGAAAAGCGUAGUCGAUGGAAAACAGGUUAAUAUUCCUGUACUUCUGGUUAUUGCGAUGGAGGGACGGAGAAGGCUAGGCCAGCUUGGCGUUGGUUGUCCAAGUUUAAGGUGGUAGGCUG